UAAAAGGCGCUAGGCGAGCGCCACCUAAUUUAUAUAUAUAUAUAUAU
rfam:Ipomoea nil DNA, scaffold: scaffold2921, cultivar: Tokyo-kokei standard.